CGCGGCCUAUCAGCUUGUUGGUGGGGUAAUGGCCUACCAAGGCGACGACGGGUAGCCGGCCUGAGAGGGCGACCGGCCACACUGGGACUGAGGCACGGCCCAGACUCCUACGGGAGGCAGCAGCGGGGAAUAUUGCACAAUGGGCGAAAGCCUGAUGCAGCGACGCCGCGUGAGGGAUGACGGCCUUCGGGUUGUAAACCUCUUUCGGCAGGGACGAAGCGUAAGUGACGGUACCUGCAGAAGAAGCGCCGGCCGACUACGUGCCAGCAGCCGCGGUAAGACGUAGGGCGCGAGCGUUGUCCGGAUUUAUUGGGCGUAAAGAGCUCGUAGGCGGCUUGUCGCGUCGACUGUGAAAACCCGCAGCUCAACUGCGGGCCUGCAGUCGAUACGGGCAGGCUAGAGUUCGGUAGGGGAGACUGGAAUUCCUGGUGUAGCGGUGGAAUGCGCAGAUAUCAGGAGGAACACCGGUGGCGAAGGCGGGUCUCUGGGCCGAUACUGACGCUGAGGAGCGAAAGCGUGGGGAGCGAACAGGAUUAGAUACCCUGGUAGUCCACGCUGUAAACGUUGGGCGCUAGGUGUGGGGGACCUCUCCGGUUCUCUGUGCCGCAGCUAACGCAUUAAGCGCCCCGCCUGGGGAGUACGG
rnacentral:rRNA from 1 species